rnacentral:rRNA from 1 species
UGGGGAAUUUUGGACAAUGGGCGAAAGCCUGAUCCAGCAAUGCCGCGUGUGUGAAGAAGGCCUUCGGGUUGUAAAGCACUUUUGUCCGGGAAAGAAAUCCUUGGCUCUAAUACAGUCGGGGGAUGACGGUACCGGAAGAAUAAGCACCGGCUAACUACGUGCCGGCAGCCGCGGUAAUACGUAGGGUGCAAGCGUUAAUCGGAAUUACUGGGCGUAAAGCGUGCGCAGGCGGUUUGCUAAGACCGAUGUGAAAUCCCCGGGCUCAACCUGGGAACUGCAUUUGGUGACUGGCAGGCUAGAGUAUGGCAGAGGGGGGUAGAAUUCCACGUGUAGCAGUGAAAUGCGUAGAGAUGUGGAGGAAUACCGAUGGCGAAGGCAGCCCCCUGGGCCAAUACUGACGCUCAUGCACGAAAGCGUGGGGAGCAAAACAGGAUUAGAUACCCUGGGUAGUCCACGCCCUAAAACGAUGUCAACUAGUUGUUGGGGAUUCAUUUCCUUAGUAACGUAGCUAA